UUGCAGGCAGAGGUAGCCGAUCCGACUUAACCGUUGGGUAGGAAAGUCCGGGCUCCGGAGGACAGCGCACCCCGUAAUGCGGGGCACCUGUAGCGUAAGCAAAGGGUAGGGAAAGUGCCACAGAAAAGAGACUGCUCGACUUUAUGUCGUAGCGAUGGUGAAAAGGUGGUGUAAGAGACCACCGUAAGCCGCAGUAAUGCGGUUUGCACGGCAAACCCUGCGUGGAGCAAGGUCAAAAAAGACCCCAGAGUGGUCCGCUCUAAAGGGCUAAACCCUUUGGUCUUUAGGUAGACCGCUAGAGUCAUUAGGGUAAUCUAAUGAACCAGAGAAAUGGCUACCGUCGCAUUUUUGCGAAAACAAAACCCGGCUUAUGCUUGCCUGCAGCAGC
rnacentral:RNase_P_RNA from 1 species